UAAUACGGAGGGUGCAAGCGUUAAUCGGAAUUACUGGGCGUAAAGCGCACGCAGGCGGUUUGUUAAGUCAGAUGUGAAAUCCCCGGGCUCAACCUGGGAACUGCAUUUGAAACUGGCAAGCUGGAGUCUCGUAGAGGGGGGUAGAAUUCCAGGUGUAGCGGUGAAAUGCGUAGAGAUCUGGAGGAAUACCGGUGGCGAAGGCGGCCCCCUGGACGAAGACUGACGCUCAGGUGCGAAAGCGUGGGGAGCAAACAGGAUUAGAUACCCUGGUAGUCCACGCUGUAAACGAUGUCGAUUUGGAGGUUGUGCCCUUGAGGCGUGGCUUCCGGAGCUAACGCGUUAAAUCGACCGCCUGGGGAGUACGGCCGCAAGGUU
rnacentral:rRNA from 1 species